AUUGAACGCUAGCGGGAUGCCUUACACAUGCAAGUCGAACGGAGUGGCGAACGGGUGAGUAAUGUAUCGGAACGUGCCCAGUAGCGGGGGAUAACUACGCGAAAGCGUAGCUAAUACCGCAUACUAUUGAAGCGGCCGAUAUCGGCUUAGCUAGUUGGUGGGGUAAGGGCUAACCAAGGCGCCGAUCCGUAGCUGGUUUGAGAGGACGACCAGCCACACUGGGACGGAGACACGGCCCAAACUCCUCCGGGAGACAGCAGUUGCGAAUUUUAGACAAUGGGGGAAACCCUGAUCCAGCCAUCCCGCGUGUGCGAUGAAGGCCUUCGGGUUGUAAAGCACUUUUGGCAGGAAAGCGGUACCUGCAGAAUAAGCACCGGCUAACUACGUGCCAGCAGCCGCGGUAAUUC
rnacentral:rRNA from 1 species